CAUCUAUCAAUCUUAUUUAUCUA
rnacentral:snRNA from 1 species